AAGGAUUGCAAUAAGAAAUAUUAGUUUAAUCUGCCUAAAAGAAUAAUAGACUCCAAAAUUCUUUUCAGACAUUAGGUCGUACCCAGUGCACAAGGCUCCCGCUUUACGCAGGGUCUGGGAGAGGUGAAUGUCGGCUAGCCUUACCCCCAUUUAUGGAGAGGUUGCUCCCAAGUCUCGAACCCGAGACCUACCGCUCAUGGGCGAAGGCACUUGCCAUCGCACCAAGUGCGACCUCUUUUCAGACAUUAGGUAAGGAAAAAAAAAUUACAAUGCACCUUUAACUCAAUAUGUUCUUCUCAGCGUAAAAAUAGGAAAAGUUAACUAUGUGUUACAAACAUAGAAUAGCUAUUUGUGUCACUCCAAAGCAAGUCUAAUAGAGACAUUGCUCAAUUAUUCAGGCCUAAUUUAAGUGAAUUCUCGUAGAAAAUAAUAUUCGACGGAUGCUUUGCAGGCACCUGAAGGAGUUACUACAUAGGUCUCCAGGAGAACAAUGAUAUUUCAUCUGCAGUCCGGAGCUUGAAAUUUCAUGUUGCAGGACAUGUUCAGAUUAACUAUGUCAGGAACACUUCGGGUUCCUAACAAUAAUCCAAUCAACUAGUCAAGACACACAUGAGGAUUGGUUGAUCCAUAAUUUUUGGACCAUACACUUAUUUUGCAAGGAAUUAAUACUUAUUCAAGUCUUCACCAUUACUAAGAUAUAUCUUUCCCAUAUAAUUCCAGAGAAAAUAAUUCUUAGCUAAAAGACAGUUCAAAUCUUUGACACAGAGUUCAAAAAGCCUUAUUUAUUCCAUCUUUUUUGUCCUUUUUGGUUGUCUAACCUCCAUUGACUUUAAAACAACAAACACCCACCCAAAGUAUAACAUUGCAAAAUACAUAUAAAGGAGAAACAAAGAGAGCUUCAGCACCUUCUACUUUCUCAAAUUUUUAAUAAUAAUCGAUCAUGUAGUCAAUUCAGAUAGUUUAUGUGAACAUGAGAAAG
rnacentral:lncRNA from 1 species